rnacentral:lncRNA from 1 species
AUUGAGAGAGAGAGAGAGAGAGAGAGAGAGCUUGGUUAAAUGUAUUGAUGUGGUUUUUAUAGGAUAUAUACAAAUAAGGGUUUUUUUUUAAAAAAAAAAGGGUAAUUGCUUAUAUACCCUGAAAAAUUUUCGAUUUUCUGAUUUAUCCUUCUUAGAAGGCUAAUAUUGAAAAUACUUUUUUUACGUUCCAACAUAUUUCAAAUAUACUCCUAGAGUUAAAUUUUAUUAAUGAACUGUUAACGAUAGCUGUUAUCCGUAUGAAAUUACUAUUUUGUCCUUUUCAAUAUGCCCUUCCACUAUCAUUCAUUUUUCUUAUUUGCCCUUAAGUUAGGGGUACAAAAAGUAUUUUGAUUUUUUAUCUUUUCAAAUAUACCCUUCUACCAUCACCAAUAUUUCUUAUUUGCUAUUAAGUUAAGAACAAAAGAGACAUUUUGAUUUUUUUAAACUCUAACAGAUAUUUAACUCACGUUUAAUCCAAGUUAACUUAACGGUUGGUAAUUAUAGAAAUAUUUUGGAAUAACGGAGAAACAUAUGAGUAAUAUAUUAGAAAAAAAAAAAAGUAGGGAUAAAUAAGAUAGUUCUGAAGUUUUGAAGGGUAUAUAAGUAAUUAUUCCUAAAAAAAAAGUAUUUAGGGGGAGAGAGAGAGAGAGAGGAGAGAGAAAAGGUGGUGGAAGGAGUGUCAUGUGUGUGGCUGUGCAUUUAUUAGUAACUGAAAAA